UGCUGGGAUUAAAGGUGUGUGCCACCAUUGCCCACCCUAGCUUUUAUUAACCAGGCAGCACCAGAUAUUAAGAAAAAGCUCCAGAGGGUUGAGAGGUUUGGAGAAAGAAGUCUAAGGGACUUAGUGAUAGUGGCAGAGAAAGUAUUUAAUGGAAGAAAGAAUGCAGAGGAGAAGCAGAUGAGAGGACAGAAGCAACAGACUCAAGACCUGGCAAAGAUCCUGUUGGCAGACAUGGUCAAACCAGAAGACCAUAGGAGAUGACUAAAACAGCUUCAGAAGAAACAGGAUAACUUCUCAGCUGCCCUGCUGCCUGACCCUGACCUCGGUCAAUGGGCCUCUGCAUGCUGCUCGGAUGGAUGCAGAGGUCCACUUCCAGAGCUCCACCAACUUUAUCCCAGAGAUUGGGUCCUAGUCAAGAGAUACUGCCAGGGGUCACUAGAGCUUCCUGUGCAGCAUGGAUCUACCACACAUCCAUUUGCAGUUGAAGACGACUCUGGCCAGCAGGGGGAAAAUUCAGCCUCAAGACUCUCUUCUGUCUCCCACUGAUGGGCCCCUACCCAUGCCCCAGGGACAGCACAAAAACAUAGCCCUGUUACUGUUCUCAUGAAGCUUCAGGAAGUCCCAUGAUUGGGCCUUCUAGUCACAAAAGAAUGGGGGAGGGGUGUGAGAGGCCAAAUCUUUUAAGUUCAGAUUCCAUUUUAGAGAUCUUGACUUAAGUCUGAACUCAGGUAAACUAACAGGCUGGUACCUAGCAUUAGUUUCCAAGUUGCCCCCAACAAAACCCAAGCCUAGCUCCAAUCUCCAAGCUAAUCCCCAAAAAGACCAGGUUACACCAUCAACAAGACCAGCAGCAUCUCCAGGUUAUUCCCCCAACAAAUCUAUACCCCCAGGUUACAAGCCAAGCCCCUGCCUAUUGAUUACCAGUGCAGAGGUGAAAAGACAUUAAGUCUUGUAUUUAUGAUCUGACUCCCAGUACCAGCCAAUUAUGUAAAAGGCCACAGUAGCUUUUCAAUUAGAUGUUUGCACACUUACCCCACUUGCUGCUUACUAUAAAGCCUUGCCCUAAUAGAUAUUUGGGGCUCCCCACCACCAAAACUGUCCUGCAUG